CCGGAUGUUCACCGACUAGGUGCAAAAAUCGACAAGUUGGUUGAAUUGCCAAAAACAAGAAAAAAUACAUGAUUAUAAGUCAGAGUUAUAGAGAUAGUUUCACCAUUAAAGUGUAUCAUUUAAGUCUUGCAAAAAUUUGAUCUAAACUUUCUAAAGGCUCGAACCAAAAGACCAGUAAGUUUCUCAAUUCUUUACCCAAACGUAAAUUUGCCAAAUCUUUACGCAUCAGCCUCCACCGAAUUAAUCAACUGUUUGCCGCCUUUAUUACUCCUUCCCCCGACGGCCGACGCCUUCAAUCAUGCAGUCUCCAUUACCCCUGCUUCCGAUUCUCUCUUUCGUUUAAUGCUUAGCUUCUAAAUAGCUAAACUUAGUCAGGCCCAUUGAAUUGGGAGAAAGAGGCUUCAAAAUUGAUAAAUUAUUCAUAGGUAAUCACCUAUUACGCUGUGAUUAUAAUUCCAAUAAAUAAACCCUAAUUUAAGAUGUUUCCAUGGAACAUCGCUAAGUCGGCGGAGACAAUUCUGUAUCGUUUCUCUAUAAAACGACUUUGCAAUUAGUUUCUGACGAAGAGUUCUACUGUAUUGGCUCAACUCAAUGAUGUCGCUCUUAAUGUUGAUCACCUAGGCUUUGGAACACUCGUUGGCCCAUGAUCAAGAAUCAAGAUUGUAAUCUCCUACUAUAAUGAUUAUCAAGUGACUCUUGCACUCCUUAGGAGUAUCUCAGUUGAUGCUCUUGAACAAGGAGCGAAUCUAGCGGCAGGAGCUCAGGAGAUUCCGCUCAAAGUGAAAUGCCUUGUCACACUCAUCAACUCAACAUCACCUUCCUAUCAGAAGAAAACUUGAACCUGAUCAGCCUGAAGAUGCCCAACAUGGACUUGGACAGGCUUAUGAGAGUCUUAGCGAUGGCUUGCAUAAGACUGCCUCAGCAUUGAUUCAUAUACCUAUGAGAACAUAUCGGCAUGGUGGUGGUGCAGGUUUUUACUAUUGUGAGUACUGUCAGGGGAGCUCCUACUGGCUGCUGCAGUCUUAGCUCCAGCUUCUGCUGCUGUGCAAGCUCUGCACUGUGCUCUUAUUGGUGUCAGAAACAGGUAGUUUUGAUUUUAGUUUUCGAGACUUAUCCGAGGUCAUUGAACUUACUGGUUCAAACAUCUUUUUCAGCAGAACUUGUAGCUUCCCUUGCUAGUUGUUCUUGGAAAUCCUUUCUGUCAAUUUUACAAACGGAAUGAGUUAUGACUUCUUUGGAUCCUUGUUACUCUCUUUUUCUUUACACCAGGGCUUCUAGACAUUUGUGUUUCAACAAGGCUCUUCUUCAAAACUUUGAGGAGACUUAAAUCGGGACAAGUUUUCACAGGGAACAAUAGCACCACGGAGGUACUUGUAAAAAGGAAGGUACUCCUUAAACGAAUGGCUUGUUUGUUCUUAUUGUUGAAGAUAUGAAUAAUAAUCUUCUUCUGCUUAUGUUGUUGAGUGUUUAUAUAUGGCAUCAUAGAUUGGGUCAUAUAAGUUUUGGUUAUAUGAAAAGGCUUAAAUCAACAAACCUUUUUUCUUUUGAAGAAAAUGAUUUUGAAAAUUCCCCCAAUUGUGUUGUGGCCAAGUAUACAUACUUAACAAACCUUUUAAACAAGUGAGUAAGAGAGAAACCUCAUCGCUUGAGUUAGUAAAUUCAAAUUUAGCGGACUUUAAGAAUUAUGCUAGUAGGAGCAGAAUGAACAACUACAUUAUGUUUGUGGAUGAUUGCUCUCGUUUUACUCGGGUUUACCUUAAGAUUAAAGAUGAGUAUUCUAAAAGUAUAAAGCCGAGGUUGAGACUUGAGAAUCAAUUGGACUUAAUAAAAGAUAUUUAGGUAGGAUUGUGAGUGAGUAUGCGAAAACUACUAUGGCAAACUAUUGUGGUCAAGAGGAAAUCAUCCAUGAGUGUAGUGCACCCUAUACUACACAACAAAUGGUGUUGCAGAGAAAACAAAUCGGACCUUGAAAGAGAUGAUGAACACAAUGCUUAUUAUUUCAAAAUUGUGUGAUAGUAUGUGCGGGAAACUAUUUUGACAGCGCUCUAUGCGCUUAAUUGGGUACCCCUUCCGACAAUUAAUUAGCUCUUUAAGAUAUGUAAAGCUUACAAACCGAACAUGAGUUUCUUGAGAUCUUGGGGUUGUUUAGCUUACCACUUUCUGAUUUUAAUAGUACUACUAUAAGACCAAGGACCUUUGAUUGUGUCUUCAUUGAGUAUGCUCAAGAGAGUGGUGGUUUAUAGGUUAAUGUCUCUUAAGGAUAGGACUAUAUGUGAGUCAAUGGAUGAGUUUUUUGAGGAUAUGUACCUCUUGAAGGAAAAAUUGAAUGAAAAAAACUGGGUCAUUAAGUUAUUUAUCAUUCAUUUCUUUCCAAUUGAUUUGUGUAUAUUGUUUGUCAUACAAUAAAAUGCCUUCAUUCAAGUUUAA